GGGUCUGUAAGUCUCGCUGACUUUCACUUUCGUUUUAUAACUUCCGGGUACCUGAACAUUCUUGGAGACAAUGGAUUUUAAGUUGUAAGCAUCGCAGUGGAAAUAUUAAACUUGUAGUUUGUUUUGAUUCCCGCUUGUUGCAAAGAAGAGGAGAAAAUGGAUUGAAAGAUGCAGGGCUGCACAAGGUACUGAAAAAGGGACAGUGCUUUGAGUGAAUGUGUUAUCCAUGUAUCAGAAAAUGAAGCAGAUCCCCCAGUUAUUAUACUCAUGAAGAGUGUGACAACUUCCAACUUCCAAGUUGGUAAUGAUGGAACUCCAUUUAAAUCAGAUGCUUCUUUCCAUCUGAUGUUUUCCAGGUUUUUGUGAAAAGUUUUCUUAAAAGUGGCACCAUUCAACUACAAAUACUAUGCCAGUGGAACUGUGAUAUCAAUCAACUGCUUAUGACACUGAUAAUUGGCAGAGAAAUUAUUUUUUUUUAUUUGGGACAAGCAAUCUGUUUCAAACAUUUUACACCUGCAAAUUGGUACAUGUACUUCAUGAAAUGCUUGAAGGAUGCCAAAGGCUACUGAAAUUCCAAGUCAGAUGAAAUUCAAAAGGAUUGAUACAAAUGUCAUUUGAAGUUUUCUAUUCUUAGUGAUGAGCGUUUUUCAGGAUGCCCUCUGAUAUCAUGGGUACAACUGGUCACUGUCCUUUGUUAGUUACACAUGCAGACAACUUAUUAAGGCAGUGAUAUAAGUAGCUCGAAGUGAUGCUUUCUUGUUUUCCUCAGAUUUAUAACCUGGAUUGAUCUCUGAUGCAGUAAUUUAAAGCCAUGUCUUUUCACUGUCACAAAGUACUGAAAUAAAAAUAAUUUUGAUUAAAAUAUUUUUUUAAAUUCACAUCAUUAAAUUUUUAAGCUACAGAAAUUCAAAUUAAUUACCUAUUAGUAAAUAGAAAUCUUUAAUUGAUUAGCAAGCCUUUGCAUUGUCAGAUCCUUUUCUGAAAGGGCCAUUUACCUUUAACAAUGUCAGGAAAGGUGAGGCAACUGGCUGGUCUUCCUGCUGGAAGUGUGUGUUAACUCUGUAAUCUUUUUAAACAAAACCAUCCAGUGAUGUCCUAAGAUUGCCAGAUGAGCAGACAUAUACCUGUAUUUAAGAAAGAUUCUGUAACAUGACAUAGAAUUUUUGCACAGCUUGACGCACAACUGAUGGUAACUUAGGUGCCUGCAAAAUAAUAAAUCUGGCACAUAUUUAUUUAUUUGAUACAGACCAGAACAAAAUUUGUCCUUUUACAGAACAAAUUAUUUUCAUUAUAAAGAAAAGAGAAAUGCAUAUGUACUGUGUUAAUACUUAUAACCAGUACAUGUAUUAUUGGAUAUUUU